rnacentral:lncRNA from 1 species
CUGGGACUGUCAGCUCUGCAAGGCACCCUUGUGGCCCAGGGCCUACUUGUCCAGAUGCAAAAUCUCUGUUCACCUCCAUGUGGGAAUCUCAGAAAGAGGUUGUGAUAGGAUUUCACUUCUUGUUCCCCAAGGAGCCUUUCUGCAUUUUUCUACAGUUAAUCCUGUAUUAACUCCAUCCCAGGUAUCCAUGUGGGCCUGAGAAUCCUAAUGCUUCUCACCCCUGGUUCAGCCCCUCUCACCCCAGUUCUCAUCCCCAGAAUGGGAUGUUGUGGUCACCACCACAGGGAUGAUGCAUACAAAGUGCCCCGAGAUGCCUACACAUAACCAUGGCCCAGCGCCAGUUCACUCGUGAUGCCAGGACGAUUAUUCUGCGGAGGGCACUGCUGCCCCUCCUCCUGACAUGAGUCCUGGAGGCUUGGGGACUCGGUUUGAGCUCCAGAACGUGCCUUCCUGGAAUCUUUGGUGCCGCAUCUGACUCGUGUCUCUGCUGUGUUCCACCCCAGGGGGAAAGUGUCCACAGGGAACAGGAAUGAGACCGGCAGGUUGUGGAGUGUCCGGAGACGCAGACUGGAGACGUUGGUGGACAACCUGGUGCCUGCAUUCCUGGGUGGUGACCCUGCCUACCUCCCCACAUUCCUGGGCACCUACAGGGCUUUUGGCACCCCCCAGCAGGUGCUGGACCUUCUCUUCACGAGAGCCUGAAUCACCUGGAAAUCCUGUGCAAGCGCUCUUUCUACAGUUCAGUCCCCAGGCUUAAGCCAACCUGGGCCAGGGCACUGCCUGGGCUCUGGAGCCUCUUGGUGCUUUGCAAUCAGCUGUGGCUCCGGUGUUAUCCAGCUGUGGUUCUAGAGACCCCAGCAGACCUACCUUGUGUAGCAGCUGUGGCGCUGGAGCCAGUUCCUCCAUUAACAUCCCUGGAGCCGGUCUCAGAUCAUCAGUGAGCCUUGGUAUCACCGAAUCGAUGGGCAUGAGUUUGAGUCAACUCCAGGAGUUGAUGAUGGACAGGAAGGCCUGCCGUGCUGCAAUUCAUGGGGUCGAAAAGAGUCGGACACGACUGAGCGACUGAACUGAACUGACUGAACUGAACCAGUGAUGCCAUCCAGCCAUCUCAUCCUGUGUCGUCCCCUUCUCCUCCUGCCCCCAAUCCCUCCCAGCAUCAGAGUCUUUGACCCAUG